rnacentral:rRNA from 1 species
GAGGGUCAUUGGAAACUGGGGAACUUGACCGUAAAAGAAAAAAGCGGAAUUCCACGUGGAGCGGUGAAAUGCGUAGAGAUGUGGAGGAACACCAGUGGCGAAGGCCUCUUUUUGGUCUGUAACUGACGCUGAGGCGCGAAAGCGUGGGGAGCAAACAUGAUUAGAUACCCUGGUAGUCCACGCCGUAAACGAUGAGUGCUAAGUGUUAGAGGGCUUCCGCCCUUUAGUGCUGCAGCUAACACAUUAAGCACUCCGCCUGGGGAGUGCGGUCGCAAGACUGAAACUCAAAGGAGUUGACGGGGGCCCGCACAAGCGGUGGAGCAUGUGGUUUUUUUUUAAUCAACGCGAAUAACCUUACCGGGUGGGGGGGGGGGGUGACAACUCUAGAGAUAGAGCGUGCCCCUUCGGGGGACAGAGUGACGGGUGUUGCAUGGUUGUCGUCAGCUCGUGUCGGGA